GAUGAAGAACGUAGCGAAAUGCGAUAAGUAAUGUGAAUUGCAGAAUUCAGUGAAUCAUCGAAUCUUUGAACGCACAUUGCGCCCGCCAGUAUUCUGGCGGGCAUGCCUGUCUGAGCGUCAUUUCAACCCUCAUGCCCCUAGGGCGUGGUGUUGGGGAUCGGCCAAGCCCGCGAGGGACGGCCGGCCCCUAAAUCUAGUGGCGGACCCGUCGUGGCCUCCUCUGCGAAGUAGUGAUAUUCCGCAUCGGAGAGCGAUGAGCCCCUGCCGUUAAACCCCCAACUUUCCAAGGUUGACCUCAGAUCAGGUAGGAAUACCCGCUGAACUUAAGCAUAUCAAUAAGCGGAGGA
rnacentral:misc_RNA from 1 species